GCGGGAGCGGCCCGGCAGCCGCCCAUUGACGCUUACCUUGUCCGCGUCCCUUCCCCGACAGCAGCCGCCGCCCUACUGCCACAGCCCGCCGGGGUCUCCCCCAAAAAGCCACGCGGUACGCACCGGGCUGCUGAGUCCAACUGCAAUGGCGAGAAGAGGAGGAGGAGGAGCCGGGGCCGGGGGCGAGCGGGCGGGCGGGCGCGCGCCGGGAGGUGCGGGCCACGUGACUGGCAGGAGCCCCGCCCCCUCGCCGCCGCGUUGCCGCUCGACGCAGGCCCAGCCGGAGAGGGAGGGAGGGCCAGAGGGAGAGAAGGAGGCGGGUCCUAGUCACGUGACAGGAACGUAGACGUUACGUAUCUUCGGGACGUUUCCCUCCCCUUUCCACGCCUUUGCUUGAUCAUGUGACAGUGACGAAGUCAGAGCUCUCCUUGGCCACAUGAUAAGGGCUUUGGCUGCUUCCCUUUACCUUAUUGGUAGGCCUGCAUCAUGUGACAACACCGCCGCUCUUUUUUUCAAUUGCGGUUUUUGAGCGGCCAUUACCACGUGACACUGAGUGAGGGGCGGAGCCUCCAUGCGGCUGCCAGUUUGCACGCCUGCGCGGCCGCCAUUUUACACCGGUCUCCAUGAGUACGUUGGCGGAAACGGCUCUGAGAGGGUGGCGCGUGAGCGUCUUCAUUGGGGUUAGAUCUCUGUAGAGGAUAUUCGGCCUCCGUGGAUGGCCGUCCCACGGAAGUUCCUCCCCACUGCCCGAAUCUCCCGCGAGAGGCCGAGCCGACCCGAGGAUCAGGCUGGCACGUGCGAGGCUGUGAUUCAGACGCUGCCGAGAUUCGGAACAAGUAGUUGGAAAGGUUUCCUACCUGAAGAAGAUGAGAGGUCGUUCAAGACUUACAGCCUGUUAACGGAUCUUCCUUGUGAAAACAUAGGCAUGGUGCGGCUAACCUGUUAAGGAUUCAAGAGCCAAUGUUGCCCUAGGUUUGAAUCCCCCGGUGUAAUAAGAAUAGUGCACUUGUCUGAGACUCCGUUUCCUUAUCUGUAAAAUGGUGAUGACUUUUUUCUUAAAAGCACCUGGCACAAUUCUUUGCACAGUACAAAUGCCCCAAAAUUAUGGCUAUUAUUAAAAAGGUAAGAUGUAAAAAUAGAAUUACAGAAUGAGUGCACGCUGUACCUAUCGCGUUUCAUUUUAUUUACACUUUAGGCUCUUGAACCGAUACUCUGUUCACACGGUGUAAAAUGUUAAAUGUGCAAAAGGACGUGAGAAGACAGUUUGACUCCUCCGGACACCCUCUUUUUUGACAGCCAUUGUAAAGCUUUUUGUGUAUCUCUACAGAGAGGUUUUAUUUCCAGAGAUGCUUGCUUAUAUCUUUAUUGGUGUUUUUAAGAUAAAUAAUAGACAUUCCGCAUCUUGCUCUUUUUUUUCAUCUACUUGGAGAUCUUUCCUAAAUAAAGGUUGAGAUUGAAAAAAGUGUUGGUCAAAUGAGUGGGUCGUGUAUUCCGACAAAAUUAGCUAAAAUAAA
rnacentral:lncRNA from 1 species